UGUAUUUUUUUUGGUAUUUUGACAUCGAGGUUAGUAUCAUAAUAUUAUUAUUUUUCGUUUAGACUCUGUUGAAAGAUUUUUGGUAAAAUUGAAGUUAAAAACUGAUUUUUUAUAUGUUUUAGGAGUUGAUUUCGUGUGAUUUUUGCAAGAAAUUUUUCGAGCCACUCUCAGGCAUUGUACUGCCAUUCAGGCAAGGAGAGUAGUAGCAGAUUAUCUCUUUAUCCCGACUAUCGUUUUGUUUCUUAGAGUUGCGAUACAGCUAAAUUCCGUAUUGUUAAAAUUGACGGAUUAAUUUCUAUGUCUAUAU
rnacentral:lncRNA from 1 species